rnacentral:rRNA from 1 species
CCUACGGGAGGCAGCAGUGAGGAAUAUUUGUCAAUGGGCGAGAGCCUGAACCAGCCAAGUAGCGUGCAGGAUGACUGCCCUACGGGUUGUAAACGUCUUUUAUAAAGGAAUAAAGUGAGGCACCUGUGCCUUUUUGUUUGUCCUUUAUGAAUCAGGAUCGGCUAACUGCGUGACAGCACCCGCUGUUAUCCGGAGGAUCCGAGCGUUAAGCGGUUUUAUUGGGUUUUAAGGGGGAGAAGUUGAGUUAUUAAGUCCGUUGGGAAAGUUUUCGGUUAAACCUUAAGAUUCUAAUUUAUACUGGCAGGCUUGAGUACGUUAGAGGUAGGUGGAAUUCGUGGUGUAGCGGUGAAAUGCGUAGAUAUCACGAAGAACUCCGAUUGCGAAGGCAGCUUACUGAGCUGCCACUGACACUGAUGCUCGAAAGUGUAGGUAUCAAACAGGAUUAGAUACCCUUGUAGUC